AUUGAACGCUGGCGGCAGGCCUAACACAUGCAAGUCGGGCGAACGAGGCUUCGGCCAAGUGAGCGGCGAACGGGUGAGUAACACGUAGGAAUCUGCCUGGUAGUGGGGGACAACGUCUCGAAAGGGACGCUAAUACCGCAUACGCCCUACGGGGGAAAGCAGGGGCUCUUCGGACCUUGCGCUAUCAGAUGAGCCUGCGUCGGAUUAGCUAGUUGGUAGGGUAAAGGCCUACCAAGGCGACGAUCCGUAACUGGUCUGAGAGGAUGAUCAGUCACACCGGAACUGAGACACGGUCCGGACUCCUACGGGAGGCAGCAGUGGGGAAUAUUGGACAAUGGGGGCAACCCUGAUCCAGCCACGCCGCGUGUGUGAAGAAGGCCUUCGGGUUGUAAAGCACUUUAGGUCGGGAGGAAGGUUCGCUGGCUAAUAUCCAGCGGAAUUGACGUUACCGACAGAAUAAGCACCGGCUAACUCCGUGCCAGCCGCCGCGGUAAAAC
rnacentral:rRNA from 1 species